GAUGAACGCUAGCGACAGGCUUAACACAUGCAAGUCGAGGGGCAGCACGGGAGUAGCAAUACAACUGGUGGCGACCGGCGCACGGGUGAGUAACGCGUAUGCAACCUACCUAUCAGAGGGGAAUAACCCGGCGAAAGUCGGACUAAUACCGCAUAAAACAGGGGCACCGCAUGGUGAUAUUUGUUAAAGAAAUUCGCUGAUAGAUGGGCAUGCGUUCCAUUAGGUAGUUGGUGAGGUAACGGCUCACCAAGCCGACGAUGGAUAGGGGAACUGAGAGGUUGGUCCCCCAGACUGGUACUGAGACACGGACCAGACUCCUACGGGAGCAGCAGUGAGGAAUAUUGGUCAAGUGGGCGAGAGCCUGAACCAGCCAAGUCGCGUGAAGGAAGAAGGAUCUAUGGUUCGUAAACUUCUUUUGCAGGGGAAUAAAGUGCGGGACGUGUCCUGUUUUGUAUGUACCCUGAAGAAUAAGGAUCGGCUAACUCCGUGCCAGCAGCCG
rnacentral:rRNA from 1 species